rnacentral:rRNA from 1 species
UACAGAGGUCCCAAGCGUUGUUCGGAUUCACUGGGCGUAAAGGGUGCGUAGGUGGCCGGGAAAGUUCGAUGUGAAAGCUCGGAGCUCAACUCCGAAAUGGCAUUGAAUACUAUUCGGCUUGAGGGUCGGAGGGGAGACUGGAAUUCUCGGUGUAGCAGUGAAAUGCGUAGAUAUCGAGAGGAACACCAGUGGCGAAGGCGAGUCUCUGGACGACUCCUGACACUGAGGCACGAAAGCUAGGGGAGCAAACGGG